rnacentral:rRNA from 1 species
AUUGAACGCUGGCGGCAGGCCUAACACAUGCAAGUCGAGCGGAUGAGGGGUGCUUGCACCCCGAUUCAGCGGCGGACGGGUGAGUAAUGCCUAGGAAUCUGCCCGAUAGUGGGGGACAACGUUUCGAAAGGAACGCUAAUACCGCGUACGUCCUACGGGAGAAAGUGGGGGCUCUUCGGACCUCACGCUAUCGGAUGAGCCUAGGUCGGAUUAGCUAGUUGGUGGGGUAAAGGCUCACCAAGGCGACGAUCCGUAACUGGUCUGAGAGGAUGAUCAGUCACACUGGAACUGAGACACGGUCCAGACUCCUACGGGAGGCAGCAGUGGGGAAUAUUGGACAAUGGGCGAAAGCCUGAUCCAGCCAUGCCGCGUGUGUGAAGAAGGUCUUCGGAUUGUAAAGCACUUUAAGUCGGGAGGAAGGGCUGUAGGCUAAUACCUUGCAGUUUUGACGUUACCGACAGAAUAAGCACCGGCUAACUUCGUGCCAGCAGCCGCCGUAAGAC